GGCUAAUUAUAUAUAUGUACAUAUAUAAUUAAUUAACACUAGAAGAAAAACCCUCUACUACGACAUUUAUUUAUUUCACAAAAUAGAGGGAGGAAAAAAAAAUGUCACGAAAGGGAAAAAAACGCGUUUUUGGCGGGAAAAGACGGAAAUUUUCGGAAAAUGUUUUUCGCGACAGUUAUUUGAUGUCAUAAAAUAAUAAAAAAAUAAUAUAUUUAAUAUAAAAAAAAUAAUAACUUUUUUUAGAGAUUUUUAACUUAUUCCCUUCUCCCCUUUCCCCUUUCUUUCGUCUUUCUCCCAUUUUGCCUCCCUUUCUGCUUUCUACCCUUUCUCCCCUUUCGCCUCCCCUUUCAGAUUUCUUCCCUUUCGCCUCCCAAUCUCCGAACUCCUUGAACUCCCUUCUCCAGACGACGACGAGGUCCAUCAGACGAACAACCACCGUCGAUCUCUGAAAAUGCUGUCGACCGUCUCCCAACGUUGUCUGUCACUGCCAAUCGUUGCCCACUGUCCAUCUUUGGAACCAAGCGCCCGCCGUCGACGUCGGAGACAUUUACUAAGGAAAUCAAGGCCAAAGGAGAUGUCAUGGCUAUGGGCUGAAGCUUUGAGAAAAAAAGAAUGAAAAAUGAAAUGUGAGAUCUUAAACUUUGAUGGUGUGUAGGGUAUUUUUGUUUGUCUAUGCAUUUUCCAAGUGAAUUUUAGUACUUAUAAGUUAUGGAAGAGUAAGAAUAAAUAUUAUUGAUUUCUUAAG